rnacentral:rRNA from 1 species
UGCAAGUCGAGCGGAUGACGGGAGCUUGCUCCUUGAUUCAGCGGCGGACGGGUGAGUAAUGCCUAGGAAUCUGCCUGGUAGUGGGGGACAACGUUUCGAAAGGAACGCUAAUACCGCAUACGUCCUACGGGAGAAAGCAGGGGACCUUCGGGCCUUGCGCUAUCAGAUGAGCCUAGGUCGGAUUAGCUAGUUGGUGGGGUAAUGGCUCACCAAGGCGACGAUCCGUAACUGGUCUGAGAGGAUGAUCAGUCACACUGGAACUGAGACACGGUCCAGACUCCUACGGGAGGCAGCAGUGGGGAAUAUUGGACAAUGGGCGAAAGCCUGAUCCAGCCAUGCCGCGUGUGUGAAGAAGGUCUUCGGAUUGUAAAGCACUUUAAGUUGGGAGGAAGGGCAUUAACCUAAUACGUUAGUGUUUUGACGUUACCGACAGAAUAAGCACCGGCUAACUCUGUGCCAGCAGCCGCGGUAAUACAGAGGGUGCAAGCGUUAAUCGGAAUUACUGGGCGUAAAGCGCGCGUAGGUGGUUUGUUAAGUUGGAUGUGAAAGCCCCGGGCUCAACCUGGGAACUGCAUCCAAAACUGGCAAGCUAGAGUACGGUAGAGGGUGGUGGAAUUUCCUGUGUAGCGGUGAAAUGCGUAGAUAUAGGAAGGAACACCAGUGGCGAAGGCGACCACCUGGACUGAUACUGACACUGAGGUGCGAAAGCGUGGGAGCAAACAGGAUUAGAUACCCUGGUAGUCCACGCCGUAACGAUGUCAACUAGCCGUUGGAAUCCUUGAGAUUUUAGUGGCGCAGCUACGCAUUAAGUUGACCGCCUGGGGAGUACGGCCGCAAGGUUAAAACUCAAUGAAUUGACGGGGCCCGCACAAGCGGUGGAGCAUGUGGUUUAAUUCGAAGCAACGCGAGAACCUUACCAGGCCUUGACAUGCAGAGAACUUUCCAGAGAUGGAUUGGUGCCCUUCGGGACUCUGACACAGUGCUGCAUGG